AUGAACGCUGGCGGCGUGCCUAAUACAUGCAAGUCGAGCGAACAGACGAGGAGCUUGCUCCUCUGACGUUAGCGGCGGACGGGUGAGUAACACGUGGAUAACCUACCUAUAAGACUGGGAUACUUCGGGAAACCGGAGCUAAUACCGGAUAAUAUAUUGAACCGCAUGGUUCAAUAGUGAAAGACGGUUUUGCUGUCACUUAUAGAUGGAUCCGCGCCGCAUUAGCUAGUUGGUAAGGUAACGGCUUACCAAGGCAACGAUGCGUAGCCGACCUGAGAGGGUGAUCGGCCACACUGGAACUGAGACACGGUCCAGACUCCUACGGGAGGCAGCAGUAGGGAAUCUUCCGCAAUGGGCGAAAGCUUGACGGAGCAACGCCGCGUGAGUGAUGAAGGUCUUCGGAUCGUAAAACUCUGUUAUUAGGGAAGAACAAAUGUGUAAGUAACUAUGCACGUCUUGACGGUACCUAAUCAGAAAGCCACGGCUAACUACGUG
rnacentral:rRNA from 1 species